CGGACCGUGGACUGAAAGGGUGACUGGUGCCCUAGAACAUCUGUUUUCCAGUCAUGUGGAAGAGUUUCAUAAGAACAAGCAUUGACUUGACUGAGGUGUUGACAUCUCCUGAGCAGGAAGAGCAAGUGACGGGAACCUUAAGAACAAACGUGCCAGAGACGGAGGCUGUGUCAUACACUAGGGGACAAUGACUGUCAGUAUUUAAAAAGAAGUAGCAGAGAGGAUUUUGAACAGAUAUCAUGCCACAUUUUCUGCUGUCACUAUUACAUUGUAAGUAUUGAAAUAUUGC
rnacentral:lncRNA from 1 species